rnacentral:lncRNA from 1 species
CAGAACUUCAGUAAAUGCAUAAUUAAACGUCAUGCAUAUAUACAGGGGAUAUCUAAUUUGACGUGUUGAAAGUGAAAAAAGCUCAGUAUACAAGUGGCUUGGAGUCAGAAAGUGGAGACAAUACAGGACUAUUAAAAAGGCAUAGGAAAAAUAAUCCUAAGUCGUUUGAUUCUGAUGAGUCGCCAUUAAAAAAACAGUAAAGAGAUCACCAAGAAAUAAAAUUCCCACACAUCCACAAGCACAUUGUAGGUCACAUAGUUUAUUUAUUAAUAUUGAUUUCUAUUAAUUGGCAAACCUUUACAUUUUUUUCUAAAAAUAUUUUAUAAAGAGAUUUUAAUAGAAAAAAUCUAACUUUAUUUUGAUAAAAUAAACAUAGUGCUAGUUUUUUUAUGACCGUAAACAAAUUACAAUAAACCUACUGAUUUUUAAUGCUUUUUACUGAAACCAUAUAAAACAUAUAAAUGAUUUUUUAUCUGGUUUAAUGAUUAGUUUUUAUUAUCUGCAUAUAAAACUGUUCCUGGCAACCUCUUGAAGAUAUUAAUUGGUAGGAGCAAACAGUCUUUAUUAUCAUUUGUUCUUAGGCUUAUUUAGUCAAUGCUUAAAGUAAUUUAAGCAACAAAUUGUCCUCAGUCUCUGAACUUAGCUUCUCCAAAACGAGUACCUCCUCUUCUCAGAACCUAGAGGUAGCAUUAACAUAGUUUUCACACCUAUAUGAAAAAGUAAGUCUAUCUGUGAUUUUUCUGAUGGAAUUUUAGAACAAGCCAUUUUCAAAAGACCUGCAAUUGCAAAUGUAUUAAAACAAGGUUUUUAGAAUCUAGUGAAGAAAUCAGGCUGUUAUAUCUUCUUAAUGGUAGAGUAGCUCAAAAUACCAAAUUGCUAACAGCUGUUUUAACACAGUUGCCAGAGAUGAAAAGCAACAAUUCUAUAGAUUCUACAUUAAUUGAGCCUGAUGAUGAUUUACUGACAUUGCCUGUUUUGGAAAUGGAUAAUAUGUUCAGGAAAAUGGAUAAUAAUAAUACUACAACAUUCCUGAUAAGAAUGCUGGUUUAAGUUGGGGGAGAUUCUAUAAAAGAUACCAUAAAAAGAAUUAUCCCAAAAAUUGUAGAAGACGAAGUGCUAAAAGAAUAUAGUUGGGUGGGAGGAAAAGAAAAAAAUAAAUUUUUUUUGCUUAAGUUGAUGAAUGCUAUAAAAGAUGUAUGCAAACAAAACCCCAAUCUACAAGGAUGCACUGAAAAAUCUAUAGAAGAUGUGGAUGCUCUCUUUUUGACAAAAACUUCAGAGCGUUUUUAGAAAAGUGUAACUGUAAUUGGCAAAUCUCAUAUUCCUUUGUUAUGACUUUAACAUGCUAUAAUUUAGAAGGUAGAAAUUGAGCUGAUUCACAGAUUUUAUUAUUCAUUUCUAAACUUUAUCUUCCAGAUUAAUUAAUUUUUUAAUGAUUUUUUUUUUUAAACGACAAAAACGAAAAAAACCUACAUCAUGGAAACAAAAUGUCCGAAAACUCAAAAGAAACAGUGGCAUGGAAUAUGUUAAUUCUAAAAGAAAUUUAGUUCCUGCAAGAACGUUAGAAAAUGUAUGCAAUAAUUGCAAAUUGAGAUGUAACGAAAAAAUUAAUUAUGCGGGAAGACAAAUAAUUUUUAAUAAUUUUUGAAGACUUAAAAAUCUCUCAAGACAAAGAGAUAAGUUCAAGGGUGAAGAAAAAAGCAACUACAAAGGGCAGAGUUCAAUUAUCUCGAAGAAAGUACACAAAUACUUACAGCUUUUUAUACCUUAAUGUGGAAAUUUCAGUUUGCAAGCAAUUUUUCUUAUCUACAUUGGGUAUUUCCGAAAAAAUGAUGCGAACUUCAUUGCAAAAAUCUCUUUGCAAUGAUGUAAACCUUCCAUCUCCAGAUAACAGGGGAAAACAUGCUCCGGGUAUCAAAACUCCUGAUGAUGCUAUUCAAAUUAUGGAUAACCACCUUAAUUCCUUUCCAGUUGUGCCAGCUCAUUGGUGUAGAAAAAACAGUACCAAAAAAUAUUUGGAAAGUAUUUUAAAUAAAGAAAGAAUGUAUACACUUGGAAUAUUGCAAGGGACUUGAGGUUAAACCAGUAUCCAAGUCAAAAUAUAAGGAAAGAUUGAUAGAAAAGAAGAUUGCCUUUUAUAUUCCAAGUAAAGAUCAGUGUUGGUGCUACGAAUUUUUCCUUCAAACUGCAGAUGCCAGACUUCCACGUGAACCUGAACACCAGCUGCACAUAAAAAGAAAAGACACCAUAAAUAUCAUAAAAAAACAAGAUGCUGAGAAAUCAAUAAGUUACCCAACCUAUUUUACUUGUAAUUUUGACUUGGAAGCAGUUUUGUAUAGCCCACUUUUUUUUGCUAAGUCGCUAUUUUAUAAACGAAAAUUAGCUGCAUAUAAUUUUACUAUUUAUGCGACAAAAGAUAAGACAGGUUAUUCUUAUAUUUGGGAUGAGACCAAUGGAAAAUGUGGUUCAAAUGAAAUUUCUACAUGUCUCUCAUGUUUAUUAAAAAGUAUGUACCGUUGACUGCAAAGCACCUAAUAAUGUUUUUCGAUAACUGCCCUGGACAGAAUAGAAAUUCUACAGUAGCUGCUAUGUUUCAUCAUGGUCUUUUUAAACAUCCUUCUCUAGAGAGCAUUGAAAUAAUUUUUUUAGAAGUCGGUCAUACUCACAUGGAGUGCGACUCUAUGCACUCAACAAUUGAGUCUGCAUCGCGUUAUUCCAAAAUCUAUAUUCCAAGCGACUGGUUUAACGUUAUUAAUUUAGCAAAAAGCAAAGGUCAGCCAUACAAAAGUUCAUGUGUUAGAAUAUACCAACUUCAAAAAUUUCAAGAUUUAUCGCGAAAAUGUUAUGCCUAACUGCAUAGUUGCUGAACAGGGAGAAACUUUAAACUGAAAGAAUGUGAGUGUCCAAGGUUGCUUUUCUUCAAAAAUGAACACUGGGAUGAAAAUUAUCAUAUUGUGGAUAUUGUCAAGAAAACGCGUGGCCGACCUUCUGGGACGCAAUUUGAGGUUCCUAACUUACACACUGAACUUCUACCAAUAAAUGAAAAGAAGUACGCUGAUUUACAAGAGUUAUGCAAAGAUAAGGUUUUACCUCGAGUAUACCAUCAGUAUUAUAAAGAUUUACCCCAUGACGGAAAUCAAGAUACUUCGGAUGAUGAAUGCAAAAUAUUAACUAAAAUAACACUACGCUCAGUGUUACACCGUAACAUAGGGGCGUAUCGACUAUAAGUCUGUGUUGGUAGUCCUAAAUGGUAAUGCAAUGACUUAUGGUAAUGCAUGGACUUAUGCAAGCUUAUAACAGCAAUUUUAUAAUACAUUUACAUGUAAAAUUUCACAAAGCUUCCUAAACCACAGAAUUUUUAAAACAUUUUUUUAGUUUCCUGCACAUUAUCAAUUUCGUUAAUAUGCCCCUAUGUUAUGAAGCCCUCGAUAUAGAAAACAUAUCAAUGAAGGCCACAAAAGGAAUAAAUAUAGUUAAAACUUUUUGUAGAGUAUGGUGGGGAGCAGACCUGCAUACAAUGUACAACAGUUUAUGCUGUACUUGUCAGAUCACACAUCAACUUUGGAGGAUUCCUGUCAAAUUCACUGACCAAGAACAACAAGGAAAAGCUUAAUAAGAUACACUAUCCAGCACUAAGGGUAAUAAUUGACACAAUGAAAUCAACCCCCACAAAUGUACUACUCUCAGAAGCUGAACAGUCAAUAGAAUACAGAAAUAGAUGGCUAGCAACAAAAUUUAUUAACAAAAUCAUAACAAUAAAACCACCAACGUAGCAAUGAUAACUACCCUCUUCUUACCAUUCUUGAAGAAAUUAAAAGCUGCCAAAUGUGCAAUGCAGACUAUUGGAAAACAAGGGAUCUUCCAUACCUUGUUACAGCACUUAACUACCACUUUACAUAUUUUAGAAAAAUAACCAAAUAUGACAUACCUCUAUGCUAUUCCACAUACUAUAACAUAUAAACAAUGCCUAUCCAAACUCUAAACCUAUAUAUAAAAAAAGGAGACAUAGCCAAACAAAAUUUUCAAAAAAGCAAAGAUGACUUAGAAGUAAAGUACACUUUCAUAUACACAGAUGGAUAUAGAAAAGAUGAGAAAACAGAUUUUGGAAUACACUCCUAAAUAUCAAUACAACUUCGCCUCAAAACUGCCAUCAAAAAUUGACAUAUUAUGUACUGCCAAAGUCAUUGCAAUACAAGAAGCAAUAGAAUUUGCAGCCAAAAAAGAAAAUAAAUUAUGCCAUAAUAUGUUCAGACUCGAGAAGUGCAAUGAGUAGUAUUAAUAAAACUGGGAUAAACACAGAUACCCAAGCAAUAAUAUUAAAAACCAAAGAAAGAUUUACCCAACUCAUCCGUACUGGGUGUAUCAUAAAAAUUGCAUGGAUACCAGAGGACAUGCUAACAUAGAAGGAAACAAAAAAGCAAAACAACUCGCUAAUAUUGGUAGAAUCCUUAAUAUCCCCAAGUAAAGUAAAUUUAUAAAAUAGACAUAUUCUACCAAUAUUAAACAGGGUUUAGAACAGAACACUGUCUCAUAAUGUUGUUAUAUAUAAAUUAAAAGGGGUCCUAACCACAGAACACUACAUAGUGAAAGGCAGUGGAGGAUUACACAAUCAUCUCACCCCAAAGUAACUAGGGCACUUAGCGAAAAUAUAAAAAAGGGAAGAUGAAAGAAUUCACAAAGCGGGCAAUAAGGGAUUUUUUCUUAAUUUUUGUUGUUUUUUAUGUUUAAACAAAGACCAUGCCGUUGAGGAAUGAGGAAAUUUUGUAUCUCUAAACAGAAAGCUUAAAAAAGAGAAUAAGAUCCAUUCAGUCCAUCCCACAAAUAAUUGACAGUUAUUAACUUUAAAGAUACUAAGAUAAAUCAGAUAAAACCUUGCCAACAUAGUGUAUGUCAUAGUAUAUGUAAAACCCAACAGCUAAAUAAAAAUGAAUUGAGAAAGGCAAGAACUAUCAAUGAAGACCCCCACCUAGGAAAAAAAAUAGCACCAUACAUUCAUGUAUGGGUUAUGAUUCAGAGUCAGAUAAACACCCAUACACUCCAAGAAUGAUCGGGCAAAUUGCACCAUUUGGGAGGAGAAGCCAAUAAACCAGGCAAGAAGAAGAAGUAUAAUUCUCACUUAUUUUAACAAUCUAUAGUCUUUGGUUUAUUUGUUAUAUCUAUUAACUUUUGGUAUUGUAAGCACUAAUAAACUAUUUGUAUUUGUAUUUAUAGUAAUUCCAAAAGAAAAAUGUGCAAAUCUUUUGACUUCAUUUCGACCUAUCACCCUUCUUCAUGUGAAUCACAUUACUAUAUGCAUUUAUAUAUGCAAAUUACUAUUGCAUAUUUAAUAAUCUAUUAUUAAUAGGGGAUUUAAUAUUACAUUAUGAAAAUAAUCCAAACAUUGUGGGAGGUUAGGUUUAGAUUUUCAGCGGGAAAGUAAUAUACAUAUAAAAUUGGAUUUAAUGAAAAAUUUAUGAAGACAAUGAAAAUCUAUAUAUAAGUCCAAAUUCAACAAUUUUAAUUAGUUGGUUCAUCUCAGAUGCUUUUAAAAUUGAAUGUUAUGUACAACAAGAGAGAGUAGCCUUAGAAUGGGUCAUAGAAAAUUUUUAUCUAAUAUUUCAA